GACGGACGCUAGCGGCGCGCCUAAUGCAUGCAAGUCGAGCGAUCGGACCAAGGGGCUUGCUCCUCGGUUACGGAGCGGCGAACGGGUGAGUAACACUUGAGCAACCUGCCUCAGAGACGGGGACAACGUCCGGAAACGGGCGCUAAUACCCGAUGACCCGGUAGAAGGGCAUCCUUCUGCCGGCAAAUGCUCUGGCGCUCUGAGAGGGGCUCACGGCCUAUCAGCUUGUUGGUGGGGUAACGGCCUACCAAGGCUUCGACGGGUAGCUGGCGUGAGAGCGCGACCAGCCACACCGGGACUGAGAUACGGCCCGGGCUCCUACGGGAGGCAGCAGCAGGGAAUAUUGGACAAUGGGCGAAAGCCUGAUCCAGCGACGCCGCGUGAGGGAUGAAGGCCUUCGGUCGUAAACCUCUGUUGUGAGGGAAGAAGCCGGGUGCAUAACCCGGUGACGGUACCUCACGAGGAAGCCCCGGCUAACUACGUGCCAGCAGCCGCGGUGAGUACGUA
rnacentral:rRNA from 1 species